AACCCAUGAUGAGGGCAUCUUCUUAAUAAGUCUUUGUAUCUUUCUAAUGCAUCAUAUAAUGUCUCUAAGUCAAUCCGGGUAAAAGAAGAAAUGUCAUUCCUCAACUU
rfam:Gossypium arboreum cultivar AKA8401 contig_97038_1, whole genome shotgun sequence.